rnacentral:rRNA from 1 species
CCCAGACUCCUACGGGAGGCAGCAGUGGGGAAUAUUGCACAAUGGGGGGAACCCUGAUGCAGCGACGCCGCGUGGGCGAGGAAGUAUUUCGGUAUGUAAAGCCCUAUCGGCAGGGAAGAAGAAAUGACGGUACCUGAAUAAGAAGCACCGGCUAAAUACGUGCCAGCAGCCGCGGUAAUACGUAUGGUGCAAGCGUUAUCCGGAUUUACUGGGCGUAAAGGGAGCGCAGGCGGCGCGCCAAGUCUGAUGUGAAGCCCCGGGGCUCAACCCCGGGCAUGCAUUGGAAACUGGCGGGCUGGAGUGCCGGAGAGGGAAGCGGAAUUCCUAGUGUAGCGGUGAAAUGCGUAGAUAUUAGGAGGAACACCAGUGGCGAAGGCGGCGUACUGGACGGCAACUGACGCUGAGGCUCGAAAGCGUGGGGAGCAAACAGGAUUAGAUACCCGAGUAAUG